CCUACGGGUGGCAGCAGUGAGGAAUAUUGGUCAAUGGGCGCUAGCCUGAACCAGCCAAGUAGCGUGAAGGAUGACUGCCCUAUGGGUUGUAAACUUCUUUUAUAUGGGAAUAAAGUGCAGUAUGUAUACUGCUUUGCAUGUACCUUAUGAAUAAGGAUCGGCUAACUACGUGCCAGCAGCCGCGGUAAUACGGAGGAUCCGAGCGUUACCCGGAUUUAUUGGGUUUAAAGGGAGUGUAGGCGGGUUGUUCACGUCAGCUGUAAAAUCGCGCGGCUAAAACGCGCCCCGCAGUUGAAACUGGACGCCUUGAGUUCACAACAGGCAGGCGGAAUUCGUGGUGUAGCGGUGAAAUGCAUAGAUAUCACGAGGAACCCCGAUUGCGAAGGCAGCCUGCCGGGGUGCGACUGACGCUGAGGCUCGAAGGUGCGGGUAUCAAACAGGAUUAGAGACCCCGGUAGUC
rnacentral:rRNA from 1 species